rnacentral:rRNA from 1 species
AACGAACGCUGGCGGCAGGCUUAACACAUGCAAGUCGAACGAAGUCUUCGGACUUAGUGGCGGACGGGUGAGUAACACGUGGGAACGUGCCUUUAGGUUCGGAAUAACUCAGGGAAACUUGUGCUAAUACCGAAUGUGCCCCUCGGGGGAAAGAUUUAUCGCCUUUAGAGCGGCCCGCGUCUGAUUAGCUAGUUGGUGAGGUAAAGGCUCACCAAGGCUACGAUCAGUAGCUGGUCUGAGAGGAUGACCAGCCACAUUGGGACUGAGACACGGCCCAAACUCCUACGGGAGGCAGCAGUGGGGAAUCUUGCGCAAUGGGCGAAAGCCUGACGCAGCCAUGCCGCGUGGAUGAUGAAGGUCUUAGGAUUGUAAAAUUCUUUCACCGGGGAAGAUAAUGACGGUACCCGGGGAAGAAGCCCCGGCUAACUUCGUGCCAGCCGCCGCGGUAACAC